UACCAGCACCCCGAGUGGUCGGGACGUUUAUUGGGCCUAAAGCAUCCGUAGCCGGUUCUACAAGUCUUCCGUUAAAUCCAGCUGCUUAACAGAUGGGCUGCGGAAGAUACUAUGGAGCUAGGAGGCGGGAGAGGCAAGCGGUACUCGAUGGGUAGGGGUAAAAUCCGUUGAUCCAUUGAAGACCACCAGUGGCGAAGGCGGCUUGCCAGAACGCGCUCGACGGUGAGGGAUGAAAGCGGGGGGAGCAAACCGG
rnacentral:rRNA from 1 species